AUUAUGUAUUGCUUCUCUUAAAUGAGAUAAAAACCCAAGGAUGCAAAAAACUUAAUAUAAAAUAGUGUGAAAAAGAAGUAGUAACUGAAAUGAACAGCAUAAUAGAAUUUGAUAAGUUUGACUCAGCACUUGACAAUGUUUCAUCUAGUAACUCUGUAGUAUCUCUGCAGUUAAACAAAGAGUUCAAAAUAUUAUUGGUAAGAACUGUCAAAAGGUUGUGAUAGCUAUGAUGAAGAGUUUUAUGACAAAUUCGCUCAUGGUCAAAUCUAAUAUGGCAGCUGGAAAAGGCAAAGGAUCUUUUUAGCCUAACCAAGUUAUACAACUUAAUAAAAGGACAAUACUCCUUGCCACAAAGCUAAGAAAGUAAUGGAAUAUCUCAAACAUGCUCGUACCAAUGCUAUUGAAUGGCCUCCACAAAGUCCUGACCUGAACCCCAUUGAAAAUUUGUAGGAGGAGCUCUUCAGAAAAGUACAGAAAACCAAACCCAGCAAUCUGGAUGAUUUGUGGCAACAUUUGCAAGCUGCAUGGCUAGCAAUCCCUGUUGACACCAUCCAAAAGCUGGUACA